AAAAAAAAAAAAAAAAGGAGUUCCCGUCGUGGCGCAGUGGUUAACGAAUCUGACUAGGAACCAUGAGGUUGCGGGUUCGAUCCCUGCCCUUGCUCAGUGGGUUAACGAUCCAGCGUUGCCGUGAGCUGUGGUGUAGGUCGCAGACGCGGCUCGGAUCCCGUGUUGCUGUGGCUCUGGCAUAGGCCGGUGGCUACAGCUCCGAUUCGACCCCUAGCCUGGGAACCUCCAUAUGCCAUGGGAGUGGCCCAAGAAAUGGCAAAAAGACAAAAAAAAAAAAAAAAAAAAAAAAAAAAAAAGAACUUAAUUUCUCCCAGAUUUCUACAUUAUCCUGGACUUCUACUCUGUGAACUCCAGAGUCAGCAGUUAGCUGCCUAUUUGACAUUACCAGUUAAAUAUUUAAUAGGAAAUUUUGAUUAAAUAAAAAAAGAUCUCCUGAUGUUCUACCCUCAAAUCCAUUUCUCACACAGUCUUUACCAUAUCAAACAAUUGUAAGUCUAUUUUUCAAGUUGAGUGAUAAUAAUGGACUGAAGUGGAUUGGUGCCCUGGAGGAUGUGGAGAGGGAGGGUUGAGAAGAGAAAAGACUGAAAUAUUCUGUUCUAGUUUUCUUCUAAAUUUGUUUGAAUAUUAGGCAGAUAUGCAUAAGCUUAAAUUUAAACCUAUGUAGCACCAACUUCUGAAACACUGUCAGUAUUUCUCAAUAAAAAUAAUUUCUAAAUUUAUGUGAAAAUGAUAUAGGUGAGUUACAAAAAUCCAGUUUCAAAAUAUUAUGCUUAUUUACAUUAAAAAUACUACCCAGUGAUAAAAUGUUUGAAGCAUUAUCUUCAGGAACAAGAUGAGGAUGUCUGUGCUUCAUCUAGUUCAACAUACUGAAACUCCUAGAUGGCAUGCUAAGACAAAAAAAAGUAAUAAAAAUAUAAGGGUUGGAGUGAAAGAAACAAAACUUUUUCAUAAAUGUCUUACCUACAUUAAGCCCUCCAAUUUUCUACAGAUAAAUUAACUGAAUUAAGAGACUGACAAUUUUGCUGAAUGAAAAAUCAAUAAGUAUCAAAAAGUCAAUUGUAUUUCUAUCAACCAAAAUAGAUCUAGAAAAUAUAAUUUUUCCAUGGAUAAACAGACUAAAUACUCUAAAGAUAUCAUUUUUUCACAAAGCUAUCUAAAUAUUCAAUGCAGUUUCAGUCAUAAUCUCAACAAAAAUUUUAAAAUUUUCUUGGCCGUCUUUCUUCCAUAUAAAAUUAUUAGUGAAGAGGAUGCAUAUAAUACAUUAAAGACAAAUAUAAAGACAAAACUCAAUUUUGAAACAAUAAAGAAUAUUAUUUUUAUGCUUAUGCAAAAGGGGCAGAUUUAUUCAAUGACAAUGUGAGCCACAGGGAGUUCCCUCAGUUCAGCAGUUUAUAAACCCGACUAGGAUCCAUGAGGACACAGGUUCAAUACCUGGCCUCUCUCAAACCUAGAAGGUGUUUAUAACACAGCCACCAAAAUGUUUAUGUCUAGAACAUACAAACAACUCCCAUAAAUUAAGAGAAUGGAAAAAAAUGAAACAAUACCCCCCAAAUGAACAAAACAGGAAAAAACAUUUCACACAGGAGGAUACAAGAAAGAAAAGAUGCUCAAACUCAUUAGCAAUCAUAGACCUGAAAACUAAAACACAGUGGGACACCUUAUCACAUGUUCUGGGCCCACGAAUUAUUAAAUAUAUGACAUGGCUAAGAGUUUGUGAGGAUGAGAAGCAACAGAAUCUCAAACACUGCUCUUGGAGAGUACAUUAAUGCAGAACUAUGGCGUUAUCUAACAAAGUUGAAAAAAACAUACCCUCUGGCCCAGUAUUACCAGUUCUAUAUAAUAUAUCUUAGAGAAAAUUUUGUACAUGUAUACCUUGAGACAUGAAUGAGAAUAUUCAUGACUUUAUUUUCAACAGCAACCAACUAUAAACAACCCGUGUUCAUCAGAGGAAGAUAAAUAAUUGUGAAGCAUUCAUAUGAUAGAACACUAUGACAGUGAAAAUAAAUGAACAGUUUUGUGCAACAGAAUGGAUAAAUCUCAGAAUGGUGAUUAAAAAGCAUGUCACACUAGGGCACAUACAGUACAAUGCCAUUUUUAAAAAGUUCAAACCCACCAAUAUCAAAACAUAUGUUAUUGAGGGUUAAGUUAAAAUAUAUGGAUAAAAGCAAGGGAAUGAAACAUAACUUAGAUCAGUGUUUGUCUCUGGAGUGGGUUGGGAAAUGUUAUCAGGGAGACUUCACUAAAGAAUAAUGGUCUAUUUAAGAUAUUAUGGGUGCAGGAUGUCCAUUUGAAAUUCUUUAUAACUUACCUAAUUAUUGCACAUAUAACUUACCUAAGCAUUUCAUAUAUUCUCUUAUAUAUUACUUAUAUAUAUAUGUAGUAACACCAUUUGGUCUUAAGUUAGGCCAAAUAUCAUGUUUUGUUAUAACAAUUGAUUACUACUUAAAUGUCCUGUUGAUUAUAGUCUCAGGCAAGAGGAAGCUAGGAUUCACUUAGGGUAGCCCAUUUACCUGAAGCCACAUUCCAAACCCCUCAUUUUCUCAAAGUGCUAGGUGAGGAUAUCAUGCCAGGUAUCUUCCCCUUGCUCAUCCACCCUUCUCUGCUUUGCUCCCUCUCAUGGGAGGGUGACCUAUAGGGACUACAUGAAUGCUUUCCAUUUCACACAGUGAAAUUUGACUUCCAUUUGACUUCUGGUUGGUUCUGGCUGAUGGAGAGCCCUAAAAGCUGAUUGAAUGGAGGAACAAUAGUGAAAUUGAGGUAUUCAUAAUACCUUUCAUUCUUUC
rnacentral:lncRNA from 1 species